rnacentral:pre_miRNA from 1 species
AGGAGGAACAACCACAGUGGCGGCGGCCAGCUCUGGAAACCUGGAUUCAGUCCCCCCAGUAACUACAGAGCUCUCAGUCUGCAGAGCCUGGAUGCUCCGGGUGCGG